rnacentral:lncRNA from 1 species
GCGAGAGGACUGAGUGUGCUGAGCCCCCCCGGGACGAACCCCCGGCUGAUGGAGCUCUGAAGCGGGCAGAGGAGCUCAAGACUCAGGCCAAUGACUACUUCAAAGCCAAGGACUACGAGAACGCCAUCAAGUUCUACAGCCAGGCCAUCGAGCUGAACCCCAGCAAUGCCAUCUACUAUGGCAACCGCAGCCUGGCCUACCUGCGCACUGAGUGCUAUGGCUACGCGCUGGGAGACGCCACGCGGGCCAUUGAGCUGGACAAGAAGUACAUCAAGGGUUAUUACCGCCGGGCUGCCAGCAACAUGGCACUGGGCAAGUUCCGGGCCGCGCUGCGAGACUACGAGACGGUGGUCAAGGUGAAGCCCCAUGACAAGGAUGCCAAAAUGAAAUACCAGGAGUGCAACAAGAUCGUGAAGCAGAAGGCCUUUGAGCGGGCCAUCGCGGGCGACGAGCACAAGCGCUCCGUGGUGGACUCGCUGGACAUCGAGAGCAUGACCAUUGAGGAUGAGUACAGCGGACCCAAGCUUGAAGACGGCAAAGUGACAAUCAGUUUCAUGAAGGAGCUCAUGCAGUGGUACAAGGACCAGAAGAAACUGCACCGGAAAUGUGCCUACCAGAUUCUGGUACAGGUCAAAGAGGUCCUCUCCAAGCUGAGCACGCUCGUGGAAACCACACUCAAAGAGACAGAGAAGAUUACAGUAUGUGGGGACACCCAUGGCCAGUUCUAUGACCUCCUCAACAUAUUCGAGCUCAACGGUUUACCCUCGGAGACCAACCCCUAUAUAUUUAAUGGUGACUUUGUGGACCGAGGCUCCUUCUCUGUAGAAGUGAUCCUCACCCUUUUCGGCUUCAAGCUCCUGUACCCAGAUCACUUUCACCUCCUUCGAGGCAACCACGAGACAGACAACAUGAAC